rnacentral:lncRNA from 1 species
AUUAUAAACCCAACUACACAAUAUCCCAUCUAAAAUCACUAAUAGACUUAUAAUUCGUUAGUGAAUUAUAAACCCAACUACACAAUAUCCCAUCUGAAAUCCCUAAAUUGCGCGUGUUCUUACAAAUUUGGAAAAUCUCAAUCUGUCUAAAAAUCUGAAUUUGCGUCGAACUACUAUAGCUUUCACUGCCAUCACCAUCCACCGUCCGCUGCCAUCACCGUCGACAGGUGCACCAUUCCCAGCAUCACUGUCGACAAGUGAGCUCUUCUCUCUAAUCUUGCCAUUCUUGCCAGUCCACUAUUCCCUCCAUCACUGCAUCUUGAGUUUCUCUCCCAUAACUGUCCACAGGUAUGCCAUGUUUGUGUUGCCUGAUUCCUUUUAUUGAUUGUUGUGAAAUUGUCUGUGAUUGAUUUUUGAGCCAUUAAUUAUCGAUUUCUACUUGAUUCAUGUUUUGCCUUAUUCAUGUUCUGUAAUUAGUAGCAAGAAUAGUGCACUUGCUUUUCACAUGAAUCAGGCAGAAUUCAAAGCUUAAAUUAAUGUAUUAUUUUUAAAAAUGUGAAUGUAUUAUCAAUAGCAAGAAUGUGAAAUUGUCUGUAUAAAGAAGUUGAAAAUGGAUAAAGAAUAUGUUUCUCCAUUUUGAACAUUAACAAGCCUAGCAACAAAGGGCUUUUAUUUUUCAUAUUUGGGCAUAUAUUGUUUAUGCAAUUGAACUUUUCACAUGCUUUGGCUCUGGGAAGCUUUGAUAUUAGCUGAUGAUGGUUUCACUUGCUUUUAUAAUCCAAUGUAUUGUGGUUGAUCCAACUGAAAAAUACAUGAUUUCACAUAACAAAAAACUAGCAAGAAUAGUGCACUUCUCCAUUAAGUAGCUGCAUUUGAAACAUAAAGCGAAAAUGACCUGAACUUCUUAAUUACAUUAUAGGUACCUAUGAACCAGGCAUUGAUUUUAUUUAAAUAAAACUUCUCCAUUAUAGUAUUACCAACUUGGAUUAGUUAAAUGACAAUGGAAUCUAACAUCAGGAAACAUGUGAUUGGCAGUUAAGAGUAUUAAAUUCAGUGCAAUAUUUUACAUGAACGAGAUUGCAUGAAAAAUGUUGUAUAACUAAUCAAGACAUCUUCUAAGUGAAUAAAAUAAACAUUUGACAGAAGCAUGCCCCAAAAUAUAUAAAUAUAUNNN